rnacentral:lncRNA from 10 species
GGUGAGGACACCAUGUUCCUCUACUGUUGUGGAUGCAGCCCUCACCAGACGACCGAACCUGCCAGUGCCUUGUUCUUGGACUUCCUAGCCUUCAGAACUGUUUCUUCUUCCUGCGACUGCAGAGAUGAAGGGAAUGAAGGUUAGCUCAUGAAUGGUAUGGGGCUGGUGUUUUGGAGUAUACUGGGGGUGGCAGCAGGGGCAACUAUUUGGGAGUUAAAAGGUCCUGGCGCUGGAUAUAGAGAUGGAUUGUGGCAAAGGACUACUAUGAGAAAAUAGAAAAGGAGGCAAGCUGUAAUUGUGUUUAUCAAUCCUUUUGAAUUUUGAAACUUCAAUUUCCACAAAAGAGCUGAUGGAUGGAUGUCAAGAAAAAUGUCGCUGGGGACUUAUUCCUUGUUGGAGUAAUUAACACGCUGUUUGACCUCUGGUAACUAAAACUGCAGAAGGCAAAACUGGAUAAGGAGACUACUGUAAUGAUUAUGCUAUUACAAGACGCUCGAUUGCUAACAUCAGACAUUUUUAUAAAAGG